CAGUCGCCGCGGGAACACGUAGGGUGCAAGCGUUAAUCGGAAUUACUGGGCGUAAAGCGUGCGCAGGCGGUUAUAUAAGACAGAUGUGAAAUCCCCGGGCUCAACCUGGGAACUGCAUUUGUGACUGUAUAGCUAGAGUACGGCAGAGGGGGAUGGAAUUCCGCGUGUAGCAGUGAAAUGCGUAGAUAUGCGGAGGAACACCGAUGGCGAAGGCAAUCCCCUGGGCCUGUACUGACGCUCAUGCACGAAAGCGUGGGGAGCAAACAGGAUUAGAUACCCCUGUAGUCCCUGUCUCUUAUAA
rnacentral:rRNA from 1 species